UGCGUAGUGGACGGCUCGGUUCCCGUGUCGAUGAAGGACGUAGCGAAAUACGAAAGGUGUUGCGAAUUGCAAGAUUCGGAGC
rnacentral:rRNA from 1 species